rnacentral:rRNA from 1 species
GACGAACGCUGGCGGCGUGCUUAACACAUGCAAGUCGAACGGGAGUAUUGAAGAAGCUUGCUUUAGAGAUACUUUAGUGGCGGACGGGUGAGUAACGCGUGAGGAGCUGUCCUAUGCAGGGGGACAACAGCUGGGAAACGGCUGCUAAUACCCCAUAAGCCGAGAGGUAAAAGGAUCAAUCCGGCAGAGGAGGUACUCGCGUCCUAUCAGCUAGUAGGUGAGGUAACGGCUCACCUAGGCGAAGACGGGUAGCCGGCCUGAGAGGGCGAACGGCCACACUGGAACUGAGAUACGGUCCAGACUCCUACGGGAGGCAGCAGUGGGGAAUAUUGGACAAUGGGCGAAAAGCCUGAUCCAGCAAUGCCGCGUGAGUGAUGAAGGCCUUAGGGUCGUAAAGCUCUUUUACCAGGGAUGAUAAUGACAGUACCUGGAGAAUAAGCUCCGGCUAACUCCGUGCCAGCAAGCCGCGGUAAACAUACUCGUA